rnacentral:rRNA from 1 species
UACGAAGGGGGCUAGCGUUGCUCGGAAUCACUGGGCGUAAAGCGCACGUAGGCGGAUCGUUAAGUCAGGGGUGAAAUCCUGGAGCUCAACUCCAGAACUGCCUUUGAUACUGGCGACCUUGAGUUCGGGAGAGGUGAGUGGGACUGCGAGUGUAGAGGUGAAAUUCGUAGAUAUUCGCAAGAACACCAGUGGCGAAGGCGGCUCACUGGCCCGAUACUGACGCUGAGGUGCGAAAGCGUGGGGAGCGAACAGG